rnacentral:rRNA from 1 species
AAGGGCCCUAGCCCUAUGGGGUGCAGCAGGCGCGAAAAUUCCGCAAUGCACGAAAGUGUGACGGGGGUAAUCUGAGUGAUUUCCGAGAGGAUUUCUUUUCAUCAGUCUGAAUAACUGGUGGAAUAAGGGGUGGGUAAAUCUCGUGCCAGCCGCCGCGGUAAUACGAGUAGCCCAAGCGAUAUCCACGAAUAUUGAGUCUAAAGCGCCCGUAGCUGGCUUAAAAAGUUCUCUGUGAAAUCUUCCUGCUCAACAGGGAGGCGUGCAGGGAAGACUUUUAGGCUAGGGAGUGGGGGAAGCAAAGAGUACUUUAGGGGGAGGAGUAAAAUCCUGUAAUCCUUAAAGGACUUCCAGUGGCGAAAGCGCUUUGCUAAAACACAUCCGACAGUGAGGAGCGAAGGCUAAGGGAGCAAACGGGAUUAGAUACCCCGGUAGUCUUAGCAGUAAAUUAUGCUGACUUGGCGUUGCAAUUACUUCGAGUAAUUGCAGUGUCGUAGAGAAGUCGUUUAGUCAGCCACUUGGGGAGUACGAUCGCAAGAUUGAAACUUAAAGGAAUUGGC